GACGAACGCUGGCGGCGUGCCUAAUACAUGCCAGUAGAACGCUGAAGGAGGAGCUUGCUUCUCUGGAUGAGUUGCGAACGGGUGAGUAACGCGUAGGUAACCUGCCUGGUAGCGGGGGAUAACUAUUGGAAACGAUAGCUAAUACCGCAUAAUAGUAGAUGUUGCAUGACAUUUGCUUAAAAGGUGCAAUUGCAUCACUACCAGAUGGACCUGCGUUGUAUUAGCUAGUUGGUGGGUAACGGCUCACCAAGGCGACGAUACAUAGCCGACCUGAGAGGGUGAUCGGCCACACUGGGACUGAGACACGGCCCAGACUCCUACGGGAGGCAGCAGUAGGGAAUCUUCGGCAAUGGACGGAAGUCUGACCGAGCAACGCCGCGCGAGUGAAGAAGGUUUUCGGAUCGUAAAGCUCUGUUGUAAGAGAAGAACGAGUGUGAGAGUGGAAAGUUCACACUGUGACGGUAUCUUACCAGAAAGGGACGGCUAACUACGUG
rnacentral:rRNA from 1 species